UACGUAGGGUGCAAGCGUUUGUCCGGAAUUAUUGGGCGUAAAGAGCUCGUAGGCGGUUUGUUGCGUCGGCUGUGAAAACCCGGGGCUCAACCCCGGGCCUGCAGCCGAUACGGGCAGACUAGAGUUCGGCAGGGGAGACUGGAAUUCCUGGUGUAGCGGUGGAAUGCGCAGAUAUCAGGAGGAACACCGGUGGCGAAGGCGGGUCUCUGGGCAGUAACUGACGCUGAGGAGCGAAAGCGUGGGGAGCGAACAGG
rnacentral:rRNA from 1 species